rnacentral:rRNA from 1 species
UACGAGGGGUGCAAGCGUUGCUCGGAAUUAUUGGGCGUAAAGGGCAGGUAGGUGGUCUCAUUUGUCAGGGGUGAAAGCCUUGGGCUUAACCCAAGAAGUGCCUUUGAAACGGUGAGACUGGAGUCUUGGAGAGGGUCGUGGAAUUCCCCGUGUAGCGGUGAAAUGCGUAGAGAUGGGGAGGAACACCAGAGGCGAAGGCGGCGACCUGGACAAGUACUGACACUCAACUGCGAAAGCGUGGGUAGCAAACAGG